rnacentral:ncRNA from 1 species
GCCCCAGUGAAAAUGCCCUUACAAUUCACUUUGAAACAAGGAGCCGGUAUCAGGCUCUACAAUUUGCCCAUGACACCUAGCUACGCCACACCUACACAGGACCUCAGCAGUGAUUAAUAUUGACCAAUAAGCGCCAGCUUGACUCAAUUACAGAUUAAAGAGUUGGCCAAAACCGGUGCCAGCCGCCGCGGUUAUACCCUAAACUCAAACUGACUUAUGUCGGUGUAAAGCGUGAUUAAAGACUAUACCAAAAUCGAGUUAAACUUGUAUCAAGCCGUAAAAAGUUUUGUUACUAAUGAAAACCACCAACGAAGGUGACUCCACUAUCUUGACCUCACAACAAUGGGGAGACAAACUGGGAUUAGAUACCCCACUAUGCCCCAUCGUAAACUUUUAUUUACACUCCAACCACCAGGAGACUACGAGCUAAGCUUAAAAUCCAAAGGACUUGACGGCCCCCUAAAUCACUCUAGAGGAGCCUGUCCUGUGAUCGAUAAUCCACGUUUAACCUCACCCCUUCUAGCUUGUCAGUUUGUAUACCUCCGUCACCAGCUCACCAUAUGAAUGUCACGCCGUGAGCAAGAGCAUAUUACAUAAACAUGUCAGGUCAAGGUGCAAUAUAUGAAGCGGGAAGAGAUGGGCUACAUUUUUUAACAUAAAAAACACGAAUAAUUAACUUAAAACUAAUUUGAAGGCGGAUCUAGUAGUAAAAAGAGAUUAGAAUGUUCUUUUUAAUUUAGCACUGGGGUGUGUACAUACCGCCCGUCACCCCCUUCGAAAUGAACAACAGAGUAUUUAACUAAUUUUAAUACACCUAAAGAAGGGGCAAGUCGUAACAUGGUAAGCGUACCGGAAGGUGCGCUUGGCUAA